GUGACAGCAAAUUUUAUGUUGCCGUAAACCGGAAGUUGCCCGUGUGUGACGCCAAACACGUGGUUUGAUAAAGAGAUAAAUUGAGGCGCAGCCUCAUUAACAUUCUCUCUUCCUUGUCGCGGUGCAGGAGGAAGGAGUGGCGGCUACAAAGAACUAAGAAAUCAGCAGUUUUAAAGCCUAAAAUGCGGAAGGAUGCGUUAUGAAAACCGUUUGAGGUGGGAUGUCAGGAGUCUACUUGUUGACCCAAUGUCUCAAUCUGAGAAAUUUAUACUGAUUUCAAAUGUUACAUAUCCUGGAAGAGCUACCUGUAAAAAAAGACAGUUUUAAUUUAAAGCCUAAACGACAAUAAACUACUCUGCAAAAAAAGUAAAGCCUCAGAUUUUCUGUGUAAAUGUUUUUCCAAGGUGUGAAGUUUUUUUAGAUGAGUUCCUAUUGGAUUACAGCUUCAGAUGUUCGAGUGUAGAUUGUUUCAGUCUAAAGUUUUGCGCCUCACUUGAUCAUGAUCUCUUUUGUAAAUGUCCUCAACAUCUUUUCACUCAGUUUGCAGGAGGCUUUGUACAAAAAUUCUUUCUUGACUUGAACACAUUUUAUUCAUACACCUAAAAAACCAGGAAACAAAAAAGUAAACGUUAUAUUGGGAAAGAAAUGCAUGAAAAAUGUACAGUGCAAGUUGAGAUGCAAACUCAAGAACAAAGCAAAUUCACCUGCAAAGGUUUUCCAAACUGUAUGUUGGAUUAUACUUUUGGUGUAAAAAGAAAUUCUGACAGAGGAGCAUAUGAACAAACAGAAUACAAUGGAUGUUUAGCAAGAAGAAAACGAUAAACAUUCCAGUAGUUUUUCGUGUUUACAACAAAAAGCAUAAACUGGGACAGAUUAUCGAUGCAGAUUAAUACUUGGCUCUCUUGCCUCAAAGAAAAAAAGGUUGUUUCAGCACUCGGAGACAUGCUUGUUUCCUCAGAAUCUUCUGAAGUUGGAUUCCCAUCUUUGUAAAUGCCAGAUUGUUCCAAAUACCCCAUAGCAGCUCAUCUUUUGAUUGUUGGUUUAGUUGUUUCUUACACCCUUAAAUAUCUGGAGCAUGAAGAAGCGUGAAUAUUAAAUGUUCAAUAAUGGUAACAUCCAACAUUAGACAAUGUGAAUUUCUCUCUGAGAUUAAUAAAGUAUAUAUCCAUUCAUUCGCUACUUUUUUGCUAGCUGGUUUUAGCCAGAACACUCUGGUUCAAAUCUAACUGAACUUAUUCCGUUAACUGUUAAAAUUCAUUCAGCAUUUGUCGUGUCCAGUAAGUUUAUAUAGCUAGUUUUGUGAGUAAAUGUAUUAAAUCUAAUAGUUUUAAGUGUAGAAUUGAAGUUCGUUUCCAGCUUUAGCUUAUUUAGCCACAGCGCUAAUGCUAGGUAGCUGAACGUCUUAACGCCACAGAUGGUUGUCAUGGAAACGGUUUCCAAUUUGUCAGUAACUUAAUGCCUUUACUCCUGGGAGUCCCAAGACAUGAGAUCAUGUUUUGUUUUUUCAAGAUGCAAUUUGUCAUUGUAAUAAGUUUAAAUAAUUUUAAAUAAACCUGUAAAAUCAUGUGAGGUUGCACAGAACACAUUUAUACAAAACAAGACCAUUUAAACAAUUUAAAGAGUAAUCACAAACCAGCUUGUAAGUUUUAUUUUUUUUACAUACUGGUCAAACCAGUUUAGUUAAACUGUCUUAUUUUGUUAGAGCAUUAAGUUUUGUGGACACACGGCAAAAAAUUGCUAUAUGGAGUUAAAUUAAUUGUUGGAAUUAGAUUCAUUUAGUUGAAUAUAUUUUUCUUUUUUAAAACUUUAUGAAAGCACAUUUUAAAACUGAAUUUGUCUUUCAGACAAACAUUAUUUCUGCUCAGAAACAUUGGUUAAAAUUCAC